UACGUAGGGGGCAAGCGUUGUCCGGAAUCAUUGGGCGUAAAGAGCGUGUAGGCGGCUCGGUAAGUCCGCUGUAAAAGUCCAGGGCUCAACCCUGGAAAGCCGGUGGAAACUGUCGGGCUAGAGUCCGGAAGAGGCGAGUGGAAUUCCUGGUGUAGCGGUGAAAUGCGCAGAUAUCAGGAGGAACACCGGUGGCGAAGGCGGGUCUCUGGGCCGAUAUUGACGCUGAGGAGCGAAAGCGUGGGGAGCGAACAGG
rnacentral:rRNA from 1 species